rnacentral:lncRNA from 1 species
CUGUCGACACCACUCCUCGUGCCCCGCCGGAACGCUCCGCCGGCAGGACCCAGUCCUCGUCGCCGUCCCACGCCGUCACCCUCGCACGCUCCAGGCAGCUGCAGUUUCCCAUGGAUCCCUCGAAGCUAGCUAGUACAGCUUGGCGGCGCUACACAGCUGCAGCAGCUGCACUGGUGUGUGCUGGGAAUCGGGGAAAGGCAAGAGGACGAGAAGGAAAGAGAUGAGCUACGAGAGCAAGGUGAUGGAGAAGACUAAGAGAGCGAGGUAGUGAGCGAUUGAGCUUGAUGGUUUGGGG